rnacentral:misc_RNA from 1 species
ACAAACUUGGUCAUUUAGAGGAAGUAAAAGUCGUAACAAGGUCUCCGUUGGUGAACCAGCGGAGGGAUCAUUAGAGAGUUCUACAACUCCCAAACCCCUGUGAACAUACCCCCCGUUGCCUCGGCAGGUCGCGGCUACCCGGCGGCGCCCCACACCGUGGGGCCCGCCCGGCGGACGCGGUCAAGCCUGCCGGCGGCCCACGAAACUCUGUCUAUGAAAAAAAUUGAAUCUCUGAUCAAGCAAACAAAUAAGUUAAAACUUUCAACAACGGAUCUCUUGGUUCUGGCAUCGAUGAAGAACGCAGC